AGAGGCUGGGGCUGGGAACCCGGUGGGCUAGGGAAUGGGGACUUGGCGCCGGGAAGCAGCCUGUGCCUGCCUGCCUGCAAGCCCACCCGCAGGAGGGGAGGCUCACUUACGGGGCCUUCCUGCCUCUGCUCUGCUCCCUGGAGGAUGGCUCCCCUCACUCCGGGCUCAACUGCCACCAACUGCCCGCUGGUCAGGAUUCCUGGCCUCUGAUUGGGCCCCAUCCCUGUCAAUCCCCUGGGAAACCGAGUCCCUGGGCCAAGGCCUCCCUCCGCUACCUUCUUCAUUCAUUCAAUUGGAGCCUGUGGAUUCAUCUCCCAGGUUCCAAGGAUUGGGACAUGGAUAUCUUUGAGGCACCACCAUUCUGACUGGCACAGCCUCUUAAUGGGAUCGCCCACAUCGCCAUCUGCUAUCCUGCGGUUCACUCUCCGUGCCACAGCCAGGCUCAUCUUCUUGACAAUCUGAGUGUGCGGCUGAAAACCAUUCAAGAGAAAGAGGAAGGCAGCAUUGAUCUCUGCAGCUCUCUGGUGGCUCCAUGUCUUAGACCUUUGUCUGACCAACGUGGUGGCCAGUCACCACCAAAGGGAAGCUCUCACCUGGCACGUCCUCCCAGCCACGUGUGCGAGAGCUGAGCUCCCCUAGGCCUCACCAUUGACCAGCGGUGGUUGUCCUGUCCCAGGGCCCAGUGCUUACCCAGACAUGUGACACGUAAGUGCACCUGUCUCUGCAGGGUGAUCAGCCCAUGGGGGCCAAGGCAGAGGAAAUCGAAUGGAUUAUAGGCCUGCAAUGGGGAAUCGGGGGUUGGAGGAGGACCCAGGACUGUGGGAUCCCAGCUGUGUGACCAUCCUUCCAUCAGCCUCAGGAUCGCCAUGUGGUACAAUGAAGGGGCUGGAGUGGACAGAGUCCGUCCCCUCCUGCUCUGACAUUCUGUGUUCCCUGGGUGCCCACAGUAUGGUCUGUGACUCCAGACUUUGAGCCCACCCGGAACAGUGUCCUGAAAAAGGGACCUGAUUUAACUUCUCAGAUAGAAAUCCCUCCCCAUGAAGAAGUGGCCCCAGCACAGGCUCUUCUCCAGGCCUCGCCUUCUAUCACAGCCACUGGAAAGACAAGCAAGAGGCGGCCCUCACCACUGCCCCUGCCUCAGGCCCAGAUGCACCCCCCAGGAGUGUGCUCUGGAAGGAAGGUUCAGGCCGCACACGGGAGGUGUGGGCUGCGUGCGUGCUUGUUCACGUGUGCAUUCGAUCGCAGAUGGCCUGAGAGUCUUGCUGCCCCCAAUCCCCACACACAGGCGGAGUCUAAGAGCCCGGCCCUCCCCUCUGGGCUGGCCUAGGUGUCUUGGGUGCUCAAUAAGAGGCAGGAUGGGUGUCAGCUUGCAACCCCAGAGGCCAGGUCAUAAGAAGCCUUUCUGUGCCCCUGUCAACCUCCUGCAAUGCUCUUUCUGGGGGAUGCAGCUGCCACAUAAAAGGUUAGGUGCCCCUCCCCCCUGCCCCGAGAUGCUGGGGCCCAGAGGCUCUGCGCUACCGCUCGGCCAGCAGUCCCCCUGGGCCGGGCCUUCCAGCCAUGCGAGGGAAGCAGCCACCAUCACCCUUCCCGACCAGGCCACACACCAGCCCUGCUCCACUCAGUAGGAGAGGAGGAGUCAAAGAAACAUCCAACUGAGCCCUGCCCUAGUCCCGACCCAGGAAAUCAUGAGAUCUAAUGAAGGAGCUGCGUUAAGCCAUUGGGCCUGGAGGCAAUUUGGUUUGGAGAAAUACGCAGCCAGACAGGCACGUGCCUUGUGGGCCAGGGGGCUGGCCUUGCAUUUCCUUGCGUGUUCCUGUCCAAAACUGCGUCUGUGUGUCUGUGGUGAGCGAGGGACGGGGCCCACUUUUGCAAGCACAUCAAUGUGUUUGCUUGUGUCUACACAGUUUGUGUUUCUGUGUGUUUUGAUGUGUGGCUGUGGGUGUGCGUGGGUGUGCGUGUGUCAAUGGCAAAAUAAUGAAGUGGACUCCUCCGCGUGAAAUCUCUAAUCCCACUGUUGAAGUGCCUCCUUGCUUGUUUAUGAAAAGAACCCACAUGGACCGUAAACGUAUGCACACGUGUAUGCGUCCAUACAGGGAUAGAAUUGAUUGGAAAAACAAGAAUGGAGCCUUUAAUUAGAGGAUUCUAAUGGGAAAUUUAAUUUAACUUAAUUUAGUUUAAUUUAAUUUAAUUUAAUAUAGGCAAUCACUGAGCCCCCAAUGUUUGCCGGGCACUAUGCCAGGGGUUAGGAAUCUGGAAAAGAGGAAGACCUACUACAACGUUCUGGGCAGCAUCAGGAGCACAGGAAAGACCCUGUGCAGGGUCAGUCCCACGUCAGACCCCGGGGUUCUCAGGGUAAUCACACAAGGCUCUUCGAGCCCCGCAAGCCCUGGCCCCCGUGCCUGGAAGAUUGGUCACCCUGAGUCUGUGAGUGGGCAGCUCAGGGCCACGCCAUCCCCCAAGCAGGGCAGCAGCAGCCCCCAAGGGCUUCUCAGGGGACGGUAGUGAGUGUUGUGCAAAACCAGCUCCAUGGUGGGGAGAUAGAUUUGGGAACAUUAGAGAAAACAGAAAUACUCUUUUCCUUCAUAGCUUCUCAGCACCCUUAGGACAUCACCAUACAUUGCCAGUCUCCAAGAGGGAAUAUAGAAUGUAGCAUUUCCCCAAACCAUAUAAUCCUGAAACCCCCUUUGCACUGAACAAAUGGUGGUUUUUGUAAGUCAGGUAACUUAUUUUGGAGAAAUGAUGCUACAGAAAUUAAUAGGUGUUGUGUCCAACCCUGGGGGUCAUUCAUCCAGCCUUCCCAAAUCCACCACCACCACCACCACCCACCCCAUCCAGUGGAGGUUAUGGUAGCAGCUUCAAGAAACCCAAGUCUGAAUGGGGAGACUCUUGGGAGGAGUGGGGGGGUGGCUGCGGGCAUAAAAUAAACAGCAAAACAGGAGUGAAUGUUUCUGAACUGAGGUGAGAGCUAGGGAGGAUGACCCAGCCCCCCUGCUAGCCCCCAGCACACUCCUCACACAGUUCUUCCUGCAGAGACCCCUGGGCACACGCUAGGGCUCCCCUCCCCUCCCCUCUGAGCUAGGCCAGACCAAGUAAGCCAAGGCCUGUUUUUCUCAAGCAUCCCCAUUACUUGGUGUAUUAACUAUGUCUUUUACUCUCUGUAUUUUGAUGCUUUAAUAUUGAGGGCCUUGCUGACCAUGGAGAACCCAGGCUAGAAACUAGUGUCACUCCAGGCCCUCCCCAGGCUAGAAACCAGUGUCACCUC